AGUGCUGGAAAGCCUUGGAGCUGUCUUUUGGAAAGAGAAAAUUACCGAGCAUCGAAGAGGGAUUGUCACCGUUUCAACGCCGAGCCGAGCAGGCCAUCGCUUCGGUAGAGUUCUGGCCGGGAGCGGGAGAGUCGUCCGGGUCGCCGGCGGCGGCCACUACUACUACUCCCAGACCAGCACCAUGCAAGUUGUCACGAGCGUGGACAGCCUCAGCGAGGCCACAGGCGCCACAGGUCCGGCCCGGCGCCGCCUACGGUAGUAGUGCCCGUGGUGCAGCAAGAAGUAGCAGGCGACACACCCAGGGCUCGGGCGCGAGGCCAUGGACUUGACCGGGCCCAUCAAACUCCUAUUGGACAUGAACGAGAGUAUCAGCAGCUGGGAGACAGCUAAAUAUUACCGCUUGGUUGUGCAAGACCAAAAGGCUAACCCAAAGUUCUGCGUAAAUUCUGAUUAAAUUGUUAUUAGUGGAGUAGUAACCAAAGUUUUGGAAUCAACUAAGUUUGUAGACCUGGCAUCUGUUUUAUUUUGUUGAAAAUGGGGAGAUUAGUUUGAAUAUUUACAAGGAUGAGCUGUUGUAUUGGAGCCCAGUCUGAUAGGCCAUCCUCGAAUUUCUUUCACUGUAAUGUUGCAACAAAUCUUCAAUAGAAUAACAUUAUAGUUAAAAGUGUUUUUCAUAAUUAAGUACAUUCUAAUAAAAUUGAUAUACAUGUAAUUUUUGCUUCUGAUUGAUAAAGGUUUCCCCCUCCCUUAAGCUGUAGUAAUCACAGUUAGAAGUGCGGAGUAGUUAGGCAGUACCGGCACACGCCCAUGCAGCAUUGGUUGCCUACCCAGGGCGUCAAGCUAUUGACACGAUCCCUGCGACUCAAUUUUGGAUGCCUACGAU